GGGGGAUGUAGCUCAGUGGUAGAGCGCG
rnacentral:piRNA from 4 species